GGACGAACGCUGGCGGCGUGCUUAACACAUGCAAGUCGAACGGAAAGGCCCUGCUUUUGUGGGGUGCUCGAGUGGCGAACGGGUGAGUAACACGUGAGUAACCUGCCCUUGACUUUGGGAUAACUUCAGGAAACUGGGGCUAAUACCGGAUAGGAGCUCCUGCUGCAUGGUGGGGGUUGGAAAGUUUCGGCGGUUGGGGAUGGACUCGCGGCUUAUCAGCUUGUUGGUGGGGUAGUGGCUUACCAAGGCUUUGACGGGUAGCCGGCCUGCGAGGGUGACCGGCCACAUUGGGACUGAGAUACGGCCCAGACUCCUACGGGAGGCAGCAGUGGGGAAUAUUGCACAAUGGGCGGAAGCCUGAUGCAGCAACGCCGCGUGCGGGAUGACGGCCUUCGGGUUGUAAACCGCUUUCGCCUGUGACGAAGCGUGAGUGACGGUAAUGGGUAAAGAAGCACCGGCUAACUACGUG
rnacentral:rRNA from 1 species